CCUACGGGAGGCAGCAGUGGGGAAUAUUGCACAAUGGAGGAAACUCUGAUGCAGCAACGCCGCGUGGAGGAUGACACAUUUCGGUGCGUAAACUCCUUUUAUAUAGGAAGAUAAUGACGGUACUAUAUGAAUAAGCACCGGCUAACUCCGUGCCAGCAGCCGCGGUAAU
rnacentral:rRNA from 2 species